GGACCAGGAGAGAAGGGUGGAUACUCUGGUUUGUACACAGAGUUCUUCGCUACUGACGACGAGGCCCUGUGUCCUCCGUAUGAGAACAUAGCUCAAAACAAAGCAUGUGAUAUGACAAAUGGAAUCACUGUGUCGUCUGCCGGUGACCUUCUGAGCUACAACUUCCCCCACAUCUACCCGACUGGUCUGUCCUGCAGAUGGACCAUCUCCCCCGAUUCCAACAACCCCACCCUGUUCCCCGUUCUGCAGAUGGUGCAGAUGGAUUUGGGCGUGGCCUCUGAAAUACUGGAAGAGCAGGAGAUUGAUACGAUUGUGAUUGGCGA